rnacentral:miRNA from 1 species
UGGGGGGGAGGGGCCUUGGG